CCUACGGGUGGCAGCAGUGAGGAAUAUUGGUCAAUGGCCGUAAGCCUGAACCAGCCAAGUAGCGUGAGGGAAGACUGCCCUAUGGGUUGUAAACCUCUUUUGUGCGGGGAUAAAGGUGUCCACGUGUGGAUUUUUGCAGGUACCGCAUGAAUAAGGACCGGCUAAUUCCGUGCCAGCAGCCGCGGUAAUACGGAAGGUCCGGGCGUUAUCCGGAUUUAUUGGGUUUAAAGGGAGCGUAGGCCGGGUUUUAAGCGUGCCGUGAAAUUUUGUGGCUCAACCCUGAGAGUGCGGCGUGAACUGGAGUGCUUGAGUGCGCGGAAGGUAGGCGGAAUGCGUGGUGUAGCGGUGAAAUGCUUAGAUAUCACGCAGAACCCCGAGUGCGAAGGCAGCCUGCCGCAGCGUGACUGACGCUGAAGCUCGAAAGCGUGGGUAUCGAACAGGAUUAGAUACCCUUGUAGUC
rnacentral:rRNA from 1 species